rnacentral:rRNA from 1 species
GACGAACGUUGGCGGCGUGCUUAAUACAUGCAAGUCCACUGAAGCAGUGGUAGCAAUAUCGCUGUGGAGGUGGCGCACGGGUGAGUAACACGUAGGUAAUCUGCCUUCAGGUCUGGCAUAACUCCGGGAAACCGGGGCUAAUAGCAGAUGAUGCAGCGGCUCGACAUCGAGACAGUUGUUAAAGCUAUGGCGCCUGAAGAUGAGCCUGCGUCUGAUUAGCUAGUUGGCGGGGUAACGGCCCACCAAGGCAACGAUCAGUAGCUGGUCUGAGAGGAUGAUCAGCCACACUGGAACUGAGACACGGUCCAGACUCCUACGGGAGGCAGCAGUAAGGAAUAUUGCUCAAUGGGAGAAAUCCUGAAGCAGCAACGCCGCGUGAGGGACGAAGGGCUUUUGCUUGUAAACCUCUGUAGUGAGAGAAAAAAAUCCCAAUUUUUGGGACAUGAUGGUAUCUCAAAAGUAAGCCCCGGCUAACUACGUG